CCAGGCAUAUUUACAACAUGUUUACACAGCGGGAAAUGCAGAAGUAUUUUAUUUUUCUCUGCGAUCAGCUUGUCAAAGAAAUUGACGGAUACAAACUUGAAACCAUUGAAAAUGAAGUGAAACUCCUGACAACAGUUGUGAUUAUCCAUUCCAUAUGAUUUAAUGUUUUGCAUGCCAACAGUGAUGUGCCUAGGAAUGAAGACAAAGGAGUUCAGAGUGAAGAACACAAACUGGAAGUGCUGUUUUUGUUGUUGAAAAUAUAUGCUAUACCCCAUCCACACUGAAGAGGCUCUGAAAUGUACAUCAACCAGGGAUAAAGAGAAAGUCAACACUGUGAAAUGUUUAGUACUUAUUUGAAGUAAAGUGUCUGUUGACAUGUUGGAAAUUAAUAAAAAAUGGUCUACAAUUUA